rnacentral:rRNA from 1 species
UACGUAGGGGGCAAGCGUUGUCCGGAUUUAUUGGGCGUAAAGAGCGUGUAGGCGGUUUGGUAGGUCCGCUGUGAAAACUCGAGGCUCAACCUCGAGACGCCGGUGGAAACCAUCAGACUAGAGUCCGGAAGAGGAGAGUGGAAUUCCUGGUGUAGCGGUGAAAUGCGCAGAUAUCAGGAGGAACACCGAUGGCGAAGGCAGGUCUCUGGGCCGAUACUGACGCUGAGGAGCGAAAGCGUGGGGGAGCGAACAGG